CUGUUAUGCAAAACUGGCUGAUCUACCUGGCUGAUCUACGUAGGUGACAGUAGAGAUCUGGAAGGAGUCGGGUGGCAGACUGGAAAUAGGAUAUUGCAGGAGCAUGAAGCGUUGACUGGUUCCCGAGGCAUUCAGGCUAGGUAACAGUGGUGACUGAGCAACUCAUUGGUGCUUUACUGGAUAA